GGUCACUGCAGCUGCACACAGCUCUAGCUAGGGACUGGACCUACCCACUGAAGGUGUUUGGAGGAGGAGGGCUCCCCUUCUGUUCAGCAAAGUUUUUGCUGAUUGUAUCUCCUGGGACCCCUGCAGUCAGGAGCUGAAUUGUGACGUGAAGUAGGAAUGAUCCACAAGUGAGCAGAAUUAUAAGGGGGUCAGAAGGAAGACUGCCUUGAGGAAGUUCCCAGUGACCUACCCGCCCUCCUUCUUGAACCUGUCCAAUUCUCUCACCUGCACUGUGGCCUGGACUUAGUGACCUGGCUUCUAACAGCUGGCAUCCCAGCAGGGGAAGCCAGCUGCCUGUCUCAAGUGCCCACAGAGAAGCCUGUGCUGCAGAACAAAGGGCGGCCUCUGAAGGAGCUGAGGCAGAGCUCAGCCCCGUGAGUGACCUCAGCCACACUCUUCCCCAGUUGAUUGGCAGUCGAUGAUCAGUGAUUGAUUACAGCCUGUGAGUGAGCAUGCCAUCUAAGUGUUCCCAGAUUCCUAGUCCACAGAAAUGGAGGCCGUGUUUGGUAAAGCAUCAAACUGUGUAAUGACUUUGGAAUGACUUAAUAAGACAAAUUAUUUACACCAUUAGGCUGGUAAAAAUGACACUGUUUGGGGAAGUGGCACAGCCUUGUAGAAGGAAGUAUGUCCCUGGGGGCAGGCUUUGAGAGUUUAUAGCUUUGCCCCACUUCUAGUUCCUGGUUCUCGGCUUCACACUUGCUAUUAAAGAUAUAAACUGUCAGCUUCCUGCUCGGGCUGCCGUGUCUGUGCUCACUGCUCUGCCGCCCUGGCAUGAUGAACAGUGGACUCUAACCCUCUGGAGCCAUGGGCCAAAAUAAACUCUCUCUUCCUUAAGCUGCCUUGGCUUGUGGUG